rnacentral:rRNA from 1 species
UAGCGAAGGGGGCUAGCGUUGCUCGGAAUCACUGGGCGUAAAGCGCACGUAGGCGGAUUGUUGAAGUCAGGGGUGAAAUCCUGGAGCUCAACUCCAGAACUGCCUUUGAUACUGGCGAUCUCGAGUCCGGGAGAGGUGAGUGGAACUGCGAGUGUAGAGGUGAAAUUCGUAGAUAUUCGCAAGAACACCAGUGGCGAAGGCGGCUCACUGGCCCGGUACUGACGCUGAGGCACGAAAGCGUGGGGAGCAAACAGG